UUCUUUUAUAAUUUAAAAGUAAAACCUGCUCACUGAAAGUUUAAAGAGCCGCAGUAUAUUGACUGUGCUAAGGUAGCGUAAUAAUUUGUCUUUUAAUUGAAGACUAGUAUGAAUGGUUUAACGAGAAAUGAACUAUCUUUUUCAAUUAAUAUUGAAUUUAAUUUUUCAGUGAAAAAGCUGAAAUAUUUUGGAAAGACGAGAAGACCCUAUAGAGUUUUAUAUUUUAUUUUUCUUUUAUUAAUUAUUUUUCUAAAAUAAAAGAAUGAAAAAGUAUUUUGUUGGGGCGACAUAAAGAUAAAAAUAACUCUUAAUUUUAAAAACUUUUAUAAAAGGAAAUAUUGAUCCUAUAAAAUGGAUUAUAAGAAAAAAUUACCUUAGGGAUAACAGCGUAAUCUUUUUUGAGAGUUCAAAUCGACAAAAAGGUUUGCGACCUCGAUGUUGGACUAAAAUUUAUAUAAAGUGCAGUAGCUUAUUUAAGG
rnacentral:rRNA from 1 species